rnacentral:rRNA from 1 species
UAAUACGUAGGGGGCGAGCGUUGUCCGGAAUUACUGGGCGUAAAGGGAGCGUAGGCGGCUUGGUAAGUUGGAUGUGAAAUACCCGGGCUUAACUUGGGGGGUGCAUCCAAUACUGCCGAGCUAGAGUACAGGAGAGGAAAGCGGAAUUCCUAGUGUAGCGGUGAAAUGCAUAGAUAUUAGGAGGAACAUCGGUGGCGAAGGCGGCUUUCUGGACUGACACUGACGCUGAGGCUCGAAAGCGUGGGGAGCAAACAGG